CCUACGGGAGGCAGCAGUGGGGAAUAUUGGGCAAUGGGCGCAAGCCUGACCGAGCAACGCCGCGUGAAGGAAGAAGGCUUUCGGGUUGUAAACUUCUGUUCUGAGGGACGAAGAAAGUGACGGUACCUCAGGAAUAAGCCACGGCUAACUACGUGCCAGCAGCCGCGGUAAUACGUAGGUGGCAAGCGUUGUCCGGAUUUGUUGGGUGUAAAGGGCGUGUAGGCGGGACAGCAAGUCAGAUGUGAAAACUCAGGGCUCAACCCUGAGCCUGCAUUUGAAACUGUUUUUCUUGAGUGCUGGAGAGGCAAUCGGAAUUCCGUGUGUAGCGGUGAAAUGCGUAGAUAUACGGAGGAACACCAGUGGCGAAGGCGGAUUGCUGGACAGUAACUGACGCUGAGGCGCGAAAGCGUGGGGAGCAAACAGGAUUAGAUACCCGGGUAGUC
rnacentral:rRNA from 1 species